rnacentral:rRNA from 1 species
UACGAAGGAUGCAAGCGUUACUCGGAAUUACUGGGCGUAAAGCGUGCGUAGGUGGUUUGUUAAGUCUGCUGUGAAAGCCCUGGGCUCAACCCGGGAAUUGCGCUUGAGACUGGUGUGCUUGAGUACGGGAGAGGAUAGUGGAAUUCCCAGUGUAGAGGUGAAAUUCGUAGAUAUUGGGAAGAACACCGGUGGCGAAGGCGGCUAUCUGGACCGUAACUGACGCUGAGGCGCGAAAGCGUGGGGAGCAAACAGG